UACAGAGGUGGCAAGCGUUGUUCGGAAUUACUGGGCGUAAAGGGCGCGUAGGCGGCCUACUAAGUCAGACGUGAAAUCCCCCGGCUUAACCUGGGAACUGCGUCUGAUACUGGAAGGCUUGAGGAUGGGAGAGGGAUGUAGAAUUCCAGGUGUAGCGGUGAAAUGCGCAGAUAUCAGGAGGAACACCGGUGGCGAAGGCGGGUUGCUGGGCUGACACUGACGCUGAUGCGCGAAAGCUAGGGGAGCGAACGGG
rnacentral:rRNA from 1 species